rnacentral:rRNA from 1 species
AGUGAACGCUGGCGGCGUGUUUUAGGCAUGCAAGUCGAUCGGCAGCGCAGUAGUAGUAAUACUAUGGGCGGCAAGAGGCGGACGGGUGAGUAAUGCACAGGAAUCUACUCAGGAGACGGGGAUAGCCCAGGGAAACUUGGGGUAAUACCCGAUAAUAACGAGAGUUCAAAGGGGCUGUAAGGCCUUACUUUUGAAUGAGCCUGUGUCCCAUCAGCUAGUUGGCGGGGUAAAUGCCCACCAAGGCUAAGACGGGUAGCUGGUCUGAGAGGACGAUCAGCCACAAGGGAACUGAGAUACGGUCCCUACUCCUACGGGAGGCAGCAGCCAAGAAUUUUCCGCAAUGGGGGAAACCCUGACGGAGCGACGCCGCGUGAGGGAUGAAGGUCUUCGGAUUGUAAACCUCUUUUGUAGGGGAAGAAUAAGGUGCAUAGGAAAUGAUGCAUCGAUGACGGUACCCUAUGAAUAAGCCCCGGCUAAUUACGUGCCAGCAGCCGCGGUAAUACGUAAGGGGCAAGCGUUACUCGGAAUUACUGGGCGUAAAGGGCGUGUAGGCGGUCACACAAGUCUAAUGUAAAAUACUAAGGCUCAACCUUAGAACUGCGUUGGAAACUGUGCGACUUGAGUCUGGUGGAGGGUAAUGGAAUUCCCGGUGUAGCGGUUAAAUGCGUAGAUAUCGGGAAGAACACCGAAGGCUAAAGCAGUUAUCUAUGCCAAGACUGACGCUGAGGCGCGAAAGUAUGGGUAUCAAACAGGAUUAGAUACCCUGGUAGUCCAUACUGUAAACGAUGUACACUAGGAGUUGGUGGUAUCCAUUAGCUCCGUAGCAAACGCAUUAAGUGUACCGCCUGGGGAGUACGGCCGCAAGGCUGAAACUCAAAGAAAUUGACGGGGGCCCGCACAAGCAGUGGAGUACGUGGUUUAAUUCGAUGAUAAGCGAAGAACCUUACCAGGGUUUGACAUGUUAGUGCUACCGGAUGAAAGUUCGGGUUCCAGCAAUGGACGCUAACACAGGUGCUGCAUGGCUGUCGUCAGCUCGUGCCGUGAGGUGUUGGGUUAAGUCCCGCAACGAGCGCAACCCUUACUCUUAGUUGCUACCCGCAAGGGAGCACUCUAAGGGAACUGCCGCCGAUAAGGCGGAGGAAGGAGGGGAUGAGGUCAAGUCAUCAUGGCCUUUAUAUCCUGGGCUACACACAUACUACAAUGGUCGAGACAGCGGGAAGCU